UUAGUCGAUGCGUUUUUAUCUCGGGACACAAGCGAGGCUUCUCUCGUGAAAGGAGCACGGAAAAGCCUUUUCCUGCGGGAUCGUGUUCGGCUGCUGGUGGAAUCGGAGACCCUGUUGUCAGCAGUGGGAUUUAGCCGGCUCCUUCAGGUACUGUUCAGAUGAGAAGUUCAGAUUUAACAGCUCCUAACACAUCCUUAAAGGCUCUGCAACAAAGCUGGAGACACCAAGGAAAGAGUAGAAGUACUGCAGGCCACUGCAGGCCUUUUGAUGAAGGACUGGGAGAAGGAUUGCCCUUGUGGAUGGAACAAGAGGUACAUGGAAAGCCCCUCGGUGUUUGCCUGGUUCUGUAAGAGGAUGUGUCAGUAGGACUGCAAGCUUGCUUGGGGAAGUGAGGACCAGCCUGAGAAAGAGCAUGGAGAUGGCUGAGGGAGAGGGAAAAGGAAGAAAGAAGCUGCUGUGAGGCUUGGAAAGUGGUUAAUGCUGUAAAGCAGGACCCACCUGAUGGAAAGGAAAGGACUCUCCUGAUGGAAAGCUGCUAUGCAUCUUUGAAGGCUUAAAGCAAGAUUAAGAGACCCAAGUUGAGGACAAAGUUACUGCAGGAAUGAUGCAGAUAAAGCCAAGGCAUGAGGGGGUCUGGUCCUGCAGAGGCAGCUGAGAAGGCUGUGUGCUGGGGAACCCACUUCUGAGAUUGGCUUAUGGGGCUGAAGGACUCUUCUUGGUUAUGCCUGAACAGCAAACAGAAGUCUGGGAAAGAGCAAAGCAAGGGUUCCCAAUUCAAGCUGCUGCCAACGAUCUACAUUCCCAAACAUCAGCUUUCAGGUAUGGAAUUACAGAGAAUUUACUUUAAAAUGGAAUAUUUUCACGUCUCAAAUCAUGUUCCACUGCAUCUCUUUAUUUCCCACACUGGGCAGAAUUCAGUUUCUAUAGGAUAAAAAAAAACCCAACAACCAGACGUAGUUUUUCUCCCCAGUGGUACUUUGCUCUUCUGACAGAUGUGUGAAUUAAAAGAAAUUAAUGCAGUCUAAUCACACC